rnacentral:rRNA from 1 species
GACGAACGCUGGCGGCGUGCUUAACACAUGCAAGUCGAGCGGUAAGGCCCUUUCGGGGGUACGACGAGCGGCGAACGGGUGAGUAACACGUGGGUGACCUGCCCUCAGCUCUGGGAUAAGCCCGGGAAACUGGGUCUAAUACCGGAUAUGACUUCAUGACGCAUGUUGUGGAGUGGAAAGCCUUGUGCGGCUGAGGAUGGGCCCGCGGCCUAUCAGCUUGUUGGG